CCUACGGGCCGCACCAGUGGGGAAUAUCGCACAAUGGGCGCAAGCCUGAUGCAGCCAUGCCGCGUGUGUGAAGAAGGCCUUCGGGUUGUAAAGCACUUUCAGCGGGGAUGAAGGCGUUAAGGUUAAUAACCUUGCCGAUUGACGUUACCCGCAGAAGAAGCACCGGCUAACUCCGUGCCAGCAGCCGCGGUAAUACGGAGGGUGCAAGCGUUAAUCGGAAUUACUGGGCGUAAAGCGCACGCAGGCGGUCUGUCAAGUCGGAUGUGAAAUCCCCGGGCUCAACCUGGGAACUGCAUUCGAAACUGGCAGGCUAGAGUCUUGUAGAGGGGGGUAGAAUUCCAGGUGUAGCGGUGAAAUGCGUAGAGAUUUGGAGGAAUACCGGUGGCGAAGGCGGCCCCCUGGACAAAGACUGACGCUCAGGUGCGAAAGCGUGGGGAGCAAACAGGAUUAGAUACCCCGGUAGUC
rnacentral:rRNA from 1 species